rnacentral:rRNA from 1 species
GGAUUAGAUACCCUGGUAGUCCACGCCGUAAACGAUGUCUACUUGGAGGUUGUUCCCUUGAGGAGUGGCUUUCGGAGCUAACGCGUUAAGUAGACCGCCUGGGGAGUACGGUCGCAAGGUUAAAACUCAAAUGAAUUGACGGGGGCCCGCACAAGCGGUGGAGCAUGUGGUUUAAUUCGAUGCAACGCGAAGAACCUUACCAUCCCUUGACAUCCAGAGAACUUACUAGAGAUAGUUUGGUGCCUUCGGGAACUCUGAGACAGGUGCUGCAUGGCUGUCGUCAGCUCGUGUCG